rnacentral:rRNA from 1 species
CUACGGGUGGCAGCAGUGAGGAAUAUUGCACAAUGGGGGGAACCCUGAUGCAGCAACGCCGCGUGGAGGAUGACGCAUUUCGGUGUGUAAACUCCUUUUAUAUGUCAAGAAAAUGACGGUAGCAUAUGAAUAAGCACCGGCUAACUCCGUGCCAGCAGCCGCGGUAAUACGGAGGGUGCAAGCGUUACUCGGAAUCACUGGGCGUAAAGGACGCGUAGGCGGGUUGGAAAGUCAGGUGUGAAAUCCUACAGCUUAACUGGAGAAAUGCACUUGAAACUUCUAAUCUAGAGUAUGGGAGGGAGAGAUAGAAUUAGUGGUGUAGGGGUAAAAUCCGUAGAUAUCACUAGGAAUACCUAAAGCGAAGGCGAUCUCCUGGAACAUUACUGACGCUAAGGCGUGAAAGCGUGGGGAGCAAACAGGAUUAGAUACCCGGUAGUC